rnacentral:rRNA from 1 species
AUUGAACGCUGGCGGCAUGCCUUACACAUGCAAGUCGAACGGCAGCACGGGUGCUUGCACCUGGUGGCGAGUGGCGAACGGGUGAGUAAUAUAUCGGAACGUACCUUAUUGUGGGGGAUAACGCAGCGAAAGCAGUGCUAAUACCGCAUAAUCCCUACGGGGGAAAGAGGGGGACCGUAAGGCCUCGCGCAAUUAGAGCGGCCGAUACCUAAUUAGCUAGUUGGGGAGGUAAAGGCUCACCAAGGCAACGAUCAGUAGCUGGUCUGAGGGGACGAUCAGCCACACUGGGACGGAGACACGGCCCAGACUCCUACGGGAGGCAGCAGUGGGGAAUUUUGGACAAUGGGGGCAACCCUGAUCCAGCAAUGCCGCGUGAGUGAAGAAGGCCUUCGGGUUGUAAAGCUCUUUUGUCAGGGAAGAAACAGCAGCUCUAACACAGUUUGCGAAUGACGGUACCUGAAGAAUAAGCACCGGCUAACUACGUGCCAGCAGCCGCAGUAA